GCAUUCUAGACGAUGCGAAAGUGUCUGUGAAGGUCAGGACUGCAGUUUCACAGUUCUUCACAUAUGUUCUGCACACAUAAUAAAACUCAUGUGCACUAAAGUAGCAAAAGUGAAGUGCUCAAAGUCAACCAAAAACUUGUUCCUGUACUCAUUUGCUCUGCUACAGAACUCAACAACAUUAGAAGAGGUACAUACAUUGAUGACAUACAUUUGUGAUGUUUUCUGCACAAAAGAGGAAAGCUUCUGUCAGGAGAGCCUUAAAGACCUUCAGAACAUGAUCAAGUCACAAGCUGUCCCUGUCAAUGUGGAGUCUGCACUGAAGACAACCAAAAAGUUGGAAGACGGAAACACCUUGGCAAACCCAUCCUCCAAAACAAUUGCUCAACAGUCUCCAUUUUCAAAGAUGUUCGAGUAUGUUUUCUUUGAAACAAAGGAAAGUAAAGAGCAAUGUGUUUCAGGUGCUCCAUCAAAUCCUCAUUGGUGUCCAGCUGUAGUGGACAUUCUGAAACCCUACAUGGCAAUCCUGCCACUCUGGACAGGUGUCAUGCUCAAGCAUUUAGGCCAGACAAGAGACACCAAUACUCAAGCUGAAAACUGGUUCCGUACCACAAAAAGAAUUGUCCUUCAUAAUCGACUUCACAGACGACCUGGUGACUUCCUGCAAGUUAUGCACGAGUUUGUUUCUGGCCGAAUGCGUGGUGUUAUCCUGACCAAAAUUCGGGGUAUGAAAAAGGAACCAAAUGAGAGUCUUCUAAGUGCACCAGGAAGUGUAGAAGAAAAAUGGCGCAAGAGAAAGACAAAAAAAAAAAAUCUAAAUACUACAAUCCACCAAAGGCCUGCUCAUCCAGCCCAACUACCAGCUACAGCUCCCCUCCAUGGUCAGGACAUGGCAACCUUGAACGUCAGGCAAUAAAAAUGGUCAAUACAUGUACAAUAGACAACCUUCUGUACAUACUUCACUUGAUCAUGAAAAAAAGAGUGUCCAUUCUAAAUGAGAUUGAACUGGCACAAUCAAAGGAUCACUGGCUCAAGACUUUACUAGAGGUUCAUCGACUAUUUUCGGCUAAAGAAUGGUUCCAGGGGAAAUUGGCAUGGCUGAAAAACUUUCCACGUUUGAAAGGAAAAUCUGUAUGGGACACUUUUGGCACUGAGAAUGACUUCAUUGUCAGUCGUCUCGAUUAUGUGCAGAAGACUGAGUGGAUUUUAAAAUGUGAUGCAAACGACUGUCCACUCCUUUCUCUCACAAAAACUGACAGGACUGUAGAUGUGUGGUGUGAAGACCUUUCAGAACUGCAGCACAGACUAGAUGAUUGGUCGUGUCCCAGGUCAAUGUCAUGUCAGAGAAAGAGGUAACGCCUUUUAGUAGCUGUUUAUGCACAGACAAAUAACAAGAAACUAAGAAAUUAUUAUGUAUGAAAACUACAUAUGUAGAAUUAUCUAACGUGUAUACAUUACAAUUGAAAUUGUAAGUUUAUAUAAACCCUAACACUAAUACAAUUUGUUAGCAGCAAAGCUAAGAUCUGCAAGGGGACCAGAACAUCCUCACCGCAACAAUUUGUGAAUGGUACACCAGCAUUCAUCAUGGUAGCCAUUGACUCAACAGUGCAGAGCACAAAUGAGCCAAAAAUGCAGCCAACAGCUUUGCCAUUAACCCUGCAGAUUCUUGGACAAAGCUAUGAAACUGCAGCAGUUACCUACCAUUUGAUGGACGCAAAUCAUUUUGUGUGCUUUCAUCGGCUCAGCACUGAAUCUGACUGGCACUUCUAUGAUGGCAUUGAGGAAAUGAAGAACCCCAGCUGUGGAGACAGACUUGCUACACCUGAAGUCUUUAAGACAGUCUUCU